rnacentral:rRNA from 1 species
CCUACGGGGGGCUGCAGUGAGGAAUAUUGGUCAAUGGACGAGAGUCUGAACCAGCCAAGUAGCGUGAAGGAUGACUGCCCUAUGGGUUGUAAACUUCUUUUAUAUGGAAAUAAAAUGUUCCACGUGUGGGAUUUUGUAUGUACCAUAUGAAUAAGGAUCGGCUAACUCCGUGCCAGCAGCCGCGGUAAUACGGCGGAUCCGAGCGUUAUCCGGAUUUAUUGGGUUUAAAGGGAGCGUAGGUGGAUUGUUAAGUCAGUUGUGAAAGUUUGCGGCUCAACCGUAAAAUUGCAGUUGAAACUGGCAGUCUUGAGUACAGUAGAGGUGGGCGGAAUUCGUGGUGUAGCGGUGAAAUGCUUAGAUAUCACGAAGAACUCCGAUUGCGAAGGCAGUUCACUGGACUGCAACUGACACUGAGGCUCGAAAGUGUGGGUAUCAAACAGGAUUAGAUACCCUUGUAGUC